UACAGAGGUCCCAAGCGUUGUUCGGAUUCACUGGGCGUAAAGGGUGCGUAGGCGGCAUGAUAAGUUUGUUGUGAAAUCUCCAAGCUUAACUUGGAAAAUGCAAUGAAUACUGUCGUGCUAGAGUUUUGUAGGGGGGACUGGAAUUCUCGGUGUAGCAGUGAAAUGCGUAGAUAUCGAGAGGAACACCAGUGGCGAAGGCGAGUCCCUGGACAAAUACUGACGCUGAGGCACGAAAGCUAGGGGAGCAAACAGG
rnacentral:rRNA from 1 species